rnacentral:lncRNA from 1 species
AAGGUGUUAGCACCCGAAGUGUCCUAGGUACUCCUAGGAAGCCCUUUCUUGUGUGCAUAUGUGUUUUUGUACAAAUGAUGUUUGCACUAAAUAGAAUGAGGUGAUGAGAAAAUAAUUAUUGAUUAUAUUUUUGUGUUUGACAAGAUCUUUGAACUUGUGCCUAUGUACCAACAUAAAAAUGAGGGAUCAAAACCUCGUAGUUCGUGGUAUCAAUUUCAAAAUGAGUGCAUUGCUUUUAAUAAAAAUUUAAGUUUAACAAAGGCACAAAAGGCCUAAAAUGGUUU